UUCGAUUACUUGCUAACACUUAAAAAUGUUUUCUAGGACUCUUUGAUGUUAUUUUCAAUAAAGGAAAUACAUGCAUUUUCCAGAGUCAUGAGAUGAGGCAUCUUUCUCUUGGUAUUGACAAUGGCUUUGUCACUGGAGUGGUGAGUAGUAAAUUUUCUCUUUGACGUAUAUAAAUAGAAUCGUAUCUGCAUAGGAUAUAUUUGUCUAUACAAUACUUUAAUACAAUCAUCAAAUUAUAUUUUACUUUGGCUGAUACUUGUGCUCUUUACAAUUUUCUGUCUUGUUUCAUUUAUUUUUGAGAUUCUGGUGCAUAAAUGAUCCUACUUUCUAGCAAAUGCAAUUUAAACUAGAAGAAGUAUACCGAUUCUCUAGUAACAUUGAAAGUUUUAAUGAGCUUUCCAAAGGACUUCUGACUUCUCAAUGGCCCCUUUAGGGAACAUAUUAUCAGGAAAGAAAGAAAUAAUCUUGCCUAGUUAUGGUUUGUAUUGCUUAGUCUAGUAUGAAAUAUAGCUUUUAAUAUAUAAAAUUGUCUUUAAAAUGAAUGCUUAUUAUUUAUCUUGAAAAAUGAAACUGGAGGAUAAUUGAUAUGCGCUCUUCUAAUUCUUAUUAUGUAUUAUAACAUUUAAACCUAAAAUCUGCCCCAUGAGAGAAUCCACUCUUAUCACUGUUUAACAGAAGCAGCACAUGAUAUAUAGAAAGAUUGAGUUGCUCACAAGAUAAUAAGUGUGGCUGCAGGAAUUGAACACAGGCGAUCUGACUCAAGCUACAACUUCCUCACAUAAGUUUAUACAAUUUAACAUAAUGAUUUGAGCUCAUAACAUGUUAUUUAAUUUAAGGGAAAAUACUAAUGUAAUUUGUAGCUCUGAAUUGGCAGAUUGGCAUUGAUCAUUCAGAUGUUGUCCAUAAAGGAAUUUCUUCUCUGCUAUGGACUUAGCAUAGUAUCUUAUAUUGUACUUCAUAGUACAUAUGUCCUAUUACAAAGGCCAUAGUAAAUGCUUAAUAAAUAUGAAUGUAAUGGGUUUGGAAUCUAUAUAAUUGAAUUGAGAUUUGAAGAAAUGUUCCAUUAUUAUAAUUUUCUAAAAUAAAAUUAAGUCGAAGCCUCUAUCCCACUAGGUUGCACUAGAUUGGUGGGAGAUUGUAUCUUAGUUAUUAUGAAAGUUAUUUUUUUUUCCACAAAAGAUUUUACCUAUCAUGUGGCCUUAGAGUAUCUGGUGUCAUCUUUUAUAUGCUGGUCACUAUGAUAUACUCAUAAACCAUCACAUAUUUUCUUAAAUAUGAUAUACUCAUAAACCAUCACAUAUUUUCUUAAAGGUAAACAGCUCUACUAAAAAGAACAAAUAAAAGAUAUAUUAAUAAAAAAAGAUAAACAGCUCUGUCACUCCCCUGCCUUGUAGAGGAUUAAACUUUGCUAAGGUUGGUAGACCUGGCGUCUUGGGACACUGUAGGGAGAGGCCCUGAACCACGAAAUGCCCUGUUACAUAACCCCCUCAGUUUAUCUACUUUUUUGAAAGCAAAACCUGGAAAUGAGGUAAGACUUUUGUUUGUUUCAGGUUUUGGUCCUAAAUAAUCUUGAGUUAGGAGAAUUCAAAUGAUUAAAUGAAAACUAAACAAUGAUCAAACACACAUUAACAUCUCAUUAACUUAUUCCUGCUACUAGUCUUAUUUUUUAUUGUUAUACAAUAUCUGCCUUGGGUCCUGAGAAAUCAAGAGAAGAAAUUUUUGGAGGAAGUCACUGACCAUGAGGCCAAUAAAACCAAGGAAUAAAAGUAAUUAAAUUGUAAAAGCAUGAUACUCUAAAAAUAGAACAAGGACUGCAUAGCAUGAAGUAGAUCUGUAUGUACACGUAAUGUCAAGACAUUUUAAAUUUAAUUUUCUCUUGCUAAUUCAGAGCCAGGUUUUAAUUUUUUUCCAUCUUCUUUUAGGCUAGUGGUGGAGCCUCCAGUGAGCUGAGGGUGCUUUAUCAGCCCAGCCGCUGUGCACUUCUUACAUCAGUAGUGGUUCCUGGCCACAUGGUGAUUUUUGAUCGUCAUGGAAAAAUAGCUGAUGAGUCCUCAGGAGGCUAUGCAAACCUUUCAAAAGAAUUUGUGAUUUUUGUCAAGGUAAAAUGGAAGAAAGUCAUCAACGUUUAUAUGGCUAAGUACCUACUUUCUUAUCCUUAUUGAAUAAAAAAUUUGAAUUAAGUCAUAACCACAGUAAUGAGGUCUCUUUCCACUAGGUGGCAUUGAUGCCUAUUUCCAUUCUGGUUACCCAGAUUUUGAAAAGCAAAUAAGGAUCAUGGCGUCAGGAGAAAUGAAACUGGGAUGGGAGUAACAUCCUAUGUCCAGUUGAAGUUGGAGGUUAAAACUAUGGACGUGGAGAUUCUUAAUAAAAAGUUAGAGAAUCUUGCAUCUGGUUGUCAAGCAAUGUAUAUAUUAAACUUUUCUGAUCGUUAGGAUUAAUACCCUUUGAUUAUUAUGCAUAUGUGAUAAUUUCCUACUGUUUAUGUCUCUUUCUUUACAGUGUUUACAAAUUAUUUAAAAAUAAGAUUUCAUACUAAUACACUACUUAUAAUUUAUGAGAUUGCUUAUUUUACUAGAACUUUAAUGAGAAUUGCACCACAUACAAGACUACAUUUAAUCAUCCUAAAGACAUUGAAGAUACUAUUAUCUGUAUUUUUAAGGUGAAGGAAAAGCAUUUCAGGGAUAAUAAGCGUCUUGGCUAAUAUAGUAUAAUUACUAAAUGGUGGAUUAUGACAAACCAAACUGUAUUUGCCAUUAAAAUAUUUUAUAUAACUUCACAUUAUUAUUUUUCUUAAAACAACAUAAUUUUACCUCAGAGCAUAUUAUUUAAUAAUAUUUACACAUAAGGAUUUUGUAAAUGUAUACAUCUUUUUAAGUUAUUAGACAUUUAAUAUUUCAUUUCACUCAUACAUGAGAUAUUGUAAUACAUACUUUGACAUAUGCCUUUGACCAUAUUUUAAAUUUUCUUAGCUUACAAAAUUAAAUAUUGAAUUUUUAAAGUUUAGACUAUGAAACUUUUAAGCUGCUAGGAACAUAAUAUCGAAUCUUCUUCCCUCCCCAUCCCGAAAUGUAUGUAUCUUACUCUUGUGAGUGUUAUGCCAGCUAUAAAGUUAGAGGGUCUGUACAACCACCUGCCUCUGAUGCCAGCCUCAAUGUGUGGGGUUCCCUGAGACCACUAUAAUUAAUAAUUCACUGGAAGGAACCACAGCAUCAUUGAAAGUGAUUAAACACACAGUUACAGUUUAUUACAGUGAAGGAUAUAGAUUAAAAUCUGCUAAAUAAGUAGAUUCAUAGUUCAGAGCCUAGAAAGAGGAGCAAAGUGAACUUUUAGUUGUCCUUUCCCCAUGGAGUCAGGUCAGGGUUACUUCCUCAAAACUGUGGUAAUGGCACCCAGAGAGUAUUGUGUGUGUCCAGGGAAGCUCACUUGAACCAUGGUGUCCAGAGUCUUUACUAGAGUUUCAUCAUGUAGGAAGUUCUGUGACUGGUGGCUGAUCUCAGUCUCCAGCCUCUUAAAGGUCACUUGAUACCUUGUGACCCAAAGCUCCACACCCUAAAUGUCUGGACCAUGGCCCCAAGGCAAAUAAAGCACUCCUAUUAGGCUUGACACUCCAAGAGCUGACAAAUUACAUUUCUUACUACCCAACUCCCUUCAGAAGUAUAGGCAAAUACCUAUCUCAUUGACCUCUGUGUUGAGUAUGGUUCCAAAAGAGAAAAGUCUUUGACAAUUUUCUAGAGGAAUAAACAUUUAAUGUCAGCUUUUUAAAAAUUUAUAAGGAUGAAUUACUUUUCCUUGUUUAUUUUUAUUUGCAUCUUAUGAUUAGUCUUUUACCAUUUCUCUACGGAAUUAGUGUAUUUCUAGUUAACUUUCAAGAGCUUUUAAUAUCUUCCUCCUAAGUUAAUGAUUGUGUAGCAUUUACUGAAAUAUACUUUAGUUGUGUUUGCUGUCUCUUUUCAUUCAUUCUUAUGUGCAUACUACUAUUCAUAGAAUGCAUUCCAUAAUUCAGGUACUCUUAUAGCAGUCUUUUUAUUCUAUAUUAAUACAAUACUAAUAAUAAUAUUAAUGUAAUAUUAAAAUUAUUUACUAAUUUUGGCUAUUGUGAGAAAUAAAAAGUCCAGUGGUCCAUUUUUAAAAUACAGUAUUUAGCUUGGAAUGUAAAAUUACUGAGGAUGUUAAAAGAAAACAGCCAACGGGGAAAUAGAACAAAUGGUUACUAGCAGUUAAUACAUGAAUGACAAAUUCACAGCCCCUUGACAAACAGGAGCUGAGGGGAAAAGGUCUGACCUGACCAACAAAGAUAAAUAGCAUAAGUUCACUUCUCCCAAGAAGACCUUCCAGCCAAAAGAGAACAAAGGGAGUUAGGGCAACUAAAGGUACAUUUCUUUAAAUAACCCAAUAGGAGACAGUAAAUCCUAGGCAACCUUUGGAAAGACUACACUUCAUAAUACUCAACCAAUGAGGAUCCUGGGGAGAGAGAGGCCUUGCACACUAGGGAAUAAAAUGCUGAUUAUAAUCACUCUGGGUGCUCCUGCUCAUCCAGACACCUGGUCUUGCAAGACCACCAGUAAAAGUCUCAUUUUUUUUGCACUAUUUUAUUUAUCACAGUCCAUUCUUUGGGUUUGUGCAGGUGAACUUGUUUCCUAUGCUGUGGGUUCCUUAAGAGAAAUAUUUGCAUGUGUGUGUGUUUUUACCUGUUAAAAAAGAUCUCUGUAAAUCUGAUGCUCAGCCUUCAACUUGCAAUAAUGGUUGAAGUAAAUUGACCUCCUUUUGUUUUGUUCAGCUAUUUCGCAGUUACAUUAGCUUCUGAUAACAUCCUGAUCACUGCAGCCUCUGUGAGAGAAUUGAUUCCAUAGCCAUCUCUCCAGUGCAAUUUGAGCCUGUAAUUUACUGCCUUUCUGUUGUUUGUUGCUCCGAAGGGGGUGUUCCUCAACAGUGCUGUGGUUCUACUUGCUACAAGCCUGUGCCAGGCCCUGUGUCUCCAACCUGAUGGGACCUGCACUGGAGCAGGAAACCAGUCUGAAAAAUCCUACUGGAAAGUGCAUAAAAUCAGCUCUGGGAUUUGCAUGUUUGAAAGUGUGAAAAAUGCACGGAUGUAUCUGAGGAUUAAGGAUGGUCGAUGUGAUGGC
rnacentral:lncRNA from 1 species